GGCACUGCCUGCCCAGUGACAAACGUUAAACGGCCGCGGUAUUCUGACCGUGCAAAGGUAGCAUAAUCAUUUGUUCUUUAAAUAAGGACUUGUAUGAAUGGCCACACGAGGGUUUUACUGUCUCUUACUUCCAAUCAGUGAAAUUGACCUUCCCGUGAAGAGGCGGGAAUAAGAAAAUAAGACGAGAAGACCCUAUGGAGCUUUAACUAGUUAGCUUAAAGAAAAAAAACUUUACCACCAAGGAAUAACACUAAUCUUAAUAAACUAACAGUUUCGGUUGGGGUGACCUCGGAGAAUAAAAAACCCUCCGAGCGAUUUUAAAAACAAGACACACAAGUCAAAUUGAACUAUCGCUUAUUGAUCCAAAAUUUGAUCAACGGAACAAGUUACCCUAGGGAUAACAGCGCAAUCCUAUUCAAGAGUUCAUAUCGACAAUAGGGUUUACGACCUCGAUGUUGGAUCAGGACACCCCGAUGGUGCAACCGCUAUCAAAGGUUCGUUUGUUCAACGAUUAAAGUCCUACGUGAUCUGAGUC
rnacentral:rRNA from 1 species